GAUGAACGCUGGCGGCGUGCCUAAUACAUGCAAGUCGAGCGAACGGACGAGAAGCUUGCUUCUCUGAUGUUAGCGGCGGACGGGUGAGUAACACGUGGAUAACCUACCUAUAAGACUGGGAUAACUUCGGGAAACCGGAGAUAAUACCGGAUAAUAUUUUGAACGGCAUGGAUCAAAAGUGAAAGACGGCCUUGCUGUCACUUAUAGAUGGAUCCGCGCUGCAUUAGCUAGUUGGUAAGGUAACGGCUUACCAAGGCAACGAUGCAUAGCCGACCUGAGAGGGUGAUCGGCCACACUGGAACUGAGACACGGUCCAGACUCCUACGGGAGGCAGCAGUAGGGAAUCUUCCGCAAUGGGCGAAAGCCUGACGGAGCAACGCCGCGUGAGUGAUGAAGGUCUUCGGAUCGUAAAACUCUGUUAUUAGGGAAGAACAUAUGUGUAAGUAACUGUGCACAUCUUGACGGUACCUAAUCAGAAAGCCACGGCUAACUACGUG
rnacentral:rRNA from 1 species